UACGUAGGGUGCGAGCGUUGUCCGGAUUUAUUGGGCGUAAAGAGCUCGUAGGCGGUUUGUCGCGUCGUUCGUGAAAACUCACAGCUUAACUGUGAGCUUGCGGUCGAUACGGGCAGGCUAGAGUUCGGUAGGGGAGACUGGAAUUCCUGGUGUAGCGGUGAAAUGCGCAGAUAUCAGGAGGAACACCGGUGGCGAAGGCGGGUCUCUGGGCCGAUACUGACGCUGAGGAGCGAAAGCGUGGGGAGCGAACAGG
rnacentral:rRNA from 1 species